UCCUCACCCGCUGUCACACUGAGGCCGUGAUGAACAACUUCUCCCGGCCGCCUGGACCCACAGACAGUGAGACGUGGAAGAGAAUAAGAGAGUUCUGCCUUCAACGGUGGAGCCAGUAGAAGAAAAAGGAAGAAAAAGAAAAGGAAACGAAAGGAAAAAGAGAAAAAGAAAGGAGAGAA